AAAAAAAUCUAUAUGAGAAAAUUUUAUAUAUAAAUAAAUUUUUAUGAUUUAAAAAAAUUUAAUUUAAAUUUAUUUUACAUGUAAAUUUUAGUGUUAAUUUUUAAUUAUUUUAAUAAUAAUUAUUAAUAUUUGCAGUAAUUAAAAUUAAAAAUUUAAGAAAUUAAGAUUUAGAAAUAUUUUGAUUAUUAACAAAUUUUGUGCCAGCAGUUGCGGUUAUACAAAAAAUAAUUUAAAUUUUAUCGGUAUAUAAUAAAUAAGAAUUAUUAUUUAAAUUAAAUAUUAAAUUAUUAAGUGAAAUUUUAAUUUAAUUAAAAUUUAUAUUAAUUUUAUGAUUUAUUAAAUUUUAUAAAAAACUAGGAUUAGAUACCCUACUAUUAAAAAUUAAAUUUAUAAUACUAAAAUAGUAGAUAAUAAUUUAUUGAAACUUAAAUAAUUUGGCGGUAUUUUAGUUCAUUUAGAGGAAUCUGUUUAAUAAUUGAUAAUCCACGAAUAAAUUUACUUAAUUUAUUAUUUUGUAUAUCGUUGUUAAAAAAAUAUUUUUUAAUAAAAAUAAUAUUUAAAAAUUUUUAUAUAAAAUUAAUUCAGAUCAAGAUGCAGAUUAUAAUUAAGAAUAUAAUGGAUUACAAUAAAUAAAUUUAAAUGAAUAAUAUUUUUUAAUAAAUAUUUGAAGGUGGAUUUAAAUGUAAUUUUAAUUAAUUUAUUAAAAUGAUUAUAUAUUAAAAUAUGUACAUAUUGCCCGUCGCUUUCAUUAAUAAAUUGGAAUAAGUCGUAACAAAGUAGAGGUACUGGAAAGUGUUUCUAGAAAGAA
rnacentral:ncRNA from 2 species